CUUUAGGGUUAGGAAACAAAACUACAUUUCCCUCGUAACGUAAUUGACAAUGCGGUUUCGUUUUAUGGGAACUCAUUUUUUAGGAGACCAGGCUGG